CACGUAGGGGGCGAGCGUUGUCCGGAUUUAUUGGGCGUAAAGAGCUCGUAGGCGGCUCGGUAAGUCGGGUGUGAAAUUUCAGGGCUCAACCCUGAAAAGCCAUCCGAUACUGCUGUGGCUAGAGUCCGGUAGGGGAGUGGGGAAUUCCUGGUGUAGCGGUGAAAUGCGCAGAUAUCAGGAGGAACACCAAUUGCGAAGGCAGCUCGCUGGGACGUUACUGACGCUGAGACGCGAAAGCGUGGGGAGCAAACAGG
rnacentral:rRNA from 1 species